rnacentral:rRNA from 1 species
CGUCUAUAUACGUAUAGCAUAUCAAUAAGCGGAGGAAAAGAAACUAACAAGGAUUCCCUUAGUAACGGCGAGUGAAGCGGGAAGAGCUCAAAUUUGAAAUCCUUCAAGGUUCUACCUUGACGAAUUGUAGUUUAAAGAAGUGUUUUCUGUUAGAGGAGUAGCAAAAGUUCCUUGGAAUAGGGACAUCAUAGAGGGUGAGAAUCCCGUAUUUGGUUAUUCUUUCUAGCUUUGUGAUACACUUUCAAAGAGUCGGAUUGUUUGGGAAUGCAGUCCAAAAUGGGUGGUAAAUUUCAUCUAAAGCUAAAUAUUGGCGAGAGACCGAUAGCGAACAAGUACCGUGAGGGAAAGAUGAAAAGAACUUUGAAAAGAGAGUUAAACAGUACGUGAAAUUGUCAAAAGGGAAGCGUUUGACACCAGUGUUGUUUUUCCGAAAAUCAAUUAAGAAGUGGCUUGAUUUUGUGUUGUAUUGACCUUAUCAGCUUUCUUCACUCUUUUUCGAGUCUUUCUUAAUGCACUUUUCGGUUAACAAGUCAACAUCAAUUUCUUUUGUUGUAAAAGGGUAUUUGGAAGGUGGCUUUCUUUUCGGAGAAAGUGUUUAUAGCCUUAUACCUCUACAAUCGGAGAGAUUGAGGUCUGCAGCGUAGAUCCUUCGGGGCUAGAUACACUUGUGCUAAGUUAUAGCUUUUCAUAGACAACUUGUUGACUAUGUUUAGUCAUGUAGCUUACCCGCUUGUGCUAUUUUACCUACGCUUAGGAUGUUGAGUCAUCACACAUCUCU